GAUGAACGCUGGCGGCGUGCUUAACACAUGCAAGUCGAACGAAGCACCUUGAUUCGAUUCUUCGGAUGAAGAUCUUGGUGACUGAGUGGCGGACGGGUGAGUAACGCGUGGGUAACCUGCCUCAUACAGGGGGAUAACAGUUAGAAAUGACUGCUAAUACCGCAUAAGACCACAGCACCGCAUGGUGCAGGGGUAAAAACUCCGGUGGUAUGAGAUGGACCCGCGUCUGAUUAGGUAGUUGGUGGGGUAACGGCCUACCAAGCCGACGAUCAGUAGCCGACCGGAGAGGGUGACCGGCCACAUUGGGACUGAGACACGGCCCAAACUCCUACGGGAGGCAGCAGUGGGGAAUAUUGCACAAUGGGGGAAACCCUGAUGCAGCGACGCCGCGUGAGCGAUGAAGUAUUUCGGUAUGUAAAGCUCUAUCAGCAGGGAAGAAAAUGACGGUACCUGACUAAGAAGCACCGGCUAAAUACGUG
rnacentral:rRNA from 1 species